AUUGAACGCUGGCGGCAUGCUUUACACAUGCAAGUCGAACGGUAACAGCACUUCGGUGGCUGACGAGUGGCGAACGGGUGAGUAAUACAUCGGAACGUGCCUAGUAGUGGGGGAUAACUACUCGAAAGAGUAGCUAAUACCGCAUGAGAUCUAAGGAUGAAAGCAGGGGACCUUCGGGCCUUGCGCUACUAGAGCGGCUGAUGGCAGAUUAGGUAGUUGGUGGGAUAAAAGCUUACCAAGCCGACGAUCUGUAGCUGGUCUGAGAGGACGACCAGCCACACUGGGACUGAGACACGGCCCAGACUCCUACGGGAGGCAGCAGUGGGGAAUUUUGGACAAUGGGCGCAAGCCUGAUCGAGCAAUGCCGCGUGCAGGAUGAAGGCCUUCGGGUUGUAAACUGCUUUUGUACGGAACGAAAAGCCCUCUUCUAAUACAGGAGGGUCAUGACGGUACCGUAAGAAUAAGCACCGGCUAACUACGUG
rnacentral:rRNA from 1 species